rnacentral:lncRNA from 1 species
UCCCUAAUUCCCUAUCGAAACAAUUUGAAAGGCAUAACCAGCAACGCUGCCACCGACUAUUGCCCACUGUCACCGUCGGCAUUCGGCAUCAGCCACCACCCACCGUCACCGUCACCGUCACCAUCACCCGUCGACAUCAUCUCUUCUUAUUUGCUAACUUAGCUUGGCACGCGACUUUGCUCGGUUGCUCUAUCUCCAGUACGGCUGUGAUAUUGAGUCGUUCGUGUAGCCCUUUUCAGCGCUGUCAACGCCAUCGUCUCCAACUCUCUAUCACCAUUUUCUUAACCACCAUCACUCUACCAUCACAGCCACCACUACCAACCCCAUGUAGUGAUUUUUUUCUUCUUAAUUUUGCCUUCCCAGUUGCAUUUUUACCAAUACAUCAUCUUUACAUCCUUUUGAGUUUAGCAGUCAAAAUUAGGGGAAAAAAAAUUGUCAAACACAUAGUUUGGAAUUACUCCUACAUUUUAAGAUUAGGACUUGACUUUACAGUGUUGGCAUGAUUUCAUAGUAUUCUAAUUGUCACCAUUCAUUAAUGUUUCUAGUUCAAGUGCAUGAUAAAAAAAAAUUGCCUUUCAUUUAAUUUUUCUGACUUAGUUAAAAAAAUGAUGAAAUUAUUAUGAUUAUUUGGUGUUAUAUUGUUUUAUUUAUGCUUUGUAUUUUUUUGGAUGCUGAUUUGGUUGGUUAUUGUAUGCUCGAGCUAAUUUUUUAUAAUAAGAAACAUAAGUAAUACAGUAAUAUAUAUGAGUUGAUUUUUUAUGAUAUUAAACAUGUAUAAUACUAAAAUAUGAAAUUUAGUAUUUCCUUGCUAUUGUAACAGUAGAGCAGUGCAAUGUCGGACCACGUGGGAAUCAAUUCAUCGAGUGCAGCAGUUUUAUCUCGUAAUGUCGAAGAUAAAACUGAUAACGAGGUUGAGGAAAUUUUAGUGUCAACCGUAAAUAGAGAUGGCCAACGGGCCGUGCCGUGCCGGCCUAGGCCCUUCAAAGGAAGCCCAUGCGGGCUCGUGCUCGUGCCGUACCGUGCUCACUAUUCAUUUCGUGUCGUGUCGUGCCGUGCCUACACGUGCUUGUGCUCGUGCCCACUCGUGCCGUGCCCAAACGUGCCGUGCGCCGUGCCGUGCCCAGGAAAAAUAGCCCACUAAGCGUUUUUCUUUUUUUUCUUUUUUUAAGAACGUAUGCCAAGUUGUUGUCUUAUUUUUUUCAAGCUUAUAUAUUUUUUUUGAAUUCAU